rnacentral:lncRNA from 1 species
CCCGAGGCCUGGAGCGGCAGUCAGCACCCCCACGCCGAGUCCCUGGCAGUCCCGGCCUUCCGGGGGCGGCCCUGGGGCCUCGGGCAACUGCAUCCACGGCCCUGGAGCCCAUCAUGUCCCAUGGUUCACGUUUUUCCGCCUGGAAACUGCAUGCCUGUCUUUCUGCUUUGCCAAAGUUUCCUUCGCACGAGGAGGGCCCUGAAUUACAGAAGUCGCUUUUCUCCACUGGGCAGAAAUGACCGCGGUAGCACUCCUGGGGAGGCCUCUAAAGCUGCAGACACGAUGUGUCGCGGGACCAUCCAGUUCUGGCCCCGUGCAGGAGGACAGGACGCCGUCUGGUCGCUGCCCUGGGCGCUCAACAUGGGAGCUGCCAGAGGAGAGCGCCCUGUGAGUGCCUGACAAAUGGAGACUGCCACACUAUACCAGCUGCCUCCCACAAUGGCUGUGAGGUGAGAACCUGAGGUGAGAACACACCCUUCCUUCAAGCUACUUCACACUGCCUCCUCAGCAUAAACAUAAGAUUUUCCCUUUUCUAUUCCUCUUAAGAGAAAAAGUAUAAUAUAGGCCAGAGGAAAAGUAUAAUAUAGGCCAGAGAAAAAAUAUAAUAUAGGCCACAGAGACUGACUUAAGUUUCUUGUGGCACAGAUGAGGAUUAUACUGUGGCAUUUCUCUUUUCUGUGACUGGGUGGGCCACGGUGAAAUAAAGUCCUAAAAUGUAUUAAAACUGUUUAGACCACCUAAAUUAGAAUCCUUCAUUUGUUAGGCCUUUCAGAAACAUUUCUCGGGACUGCAAAAUAUAUGGUAGGGAUUCAUUCCAUUUUAUAGAUCAGCAAACUGAGACAGAAGGUGAGUGAGGGAAUUGGAAUCAUACGAAUGGUUAUGGCAGGAUACAGGGCACAGAGACUUUGGCACACUUUACUUUUUCCACUAUACCACAUACUGUCUCCUGAAUUGAACAUUUUCAUCUUCUUUAUUAUAAAAUGAUUCAAAUAAAAUAUAUCUAUAUGUUUUCUUAUUUCACUUUUUUUUUUUGGUCACUCUAGAACUGUA